CUCGGCGGGCCGGGGGCGGUCCGGCCUCCAAGCGCCGCGACUGCCCCGUCGCUUUUUACGUUUGGCCCGUUCCCCUUGUUUUCGGCGGAGGCCGGCGGGUGCUCUUAAUCGGGUGUCCGUCCGGCGCCGUCGGGUUCGCUUUGAAAAAAUUAGAGUGCUCCAGGCAGGCCUGACGCGCCUGAAUAGUCGUGCAUGGAAUGAUGGAAUAGGACGUCGCUUCUAUUUCGUCGGUCCUUCGGAAGUCGACGUAAUGAUUGACAGGGACGGUCGGGGGCGUCGGUAUUCGGGCGACAGAGGUGAAAUUCUUGGACCGCCUGAAGACCCGCGGCUGCGAAAGCGCUCGCCAAGAACGUUUUCAUUAAUCAAGAACGAAAGUCAGAGGUUCGAA
rnacentral:rRNA from 1 species